rnacentral:rRNA from 1 species
AUGAAAGGAGUUGAUGAUUUCAUGGCAUUUGUUCGGGCAAAUUUUUCAAACGAUGCUGACAUUCUUUGCCCAUGCUGCGAAUGCCUCAACCGUUCAAGAAAGGCUCAAGGAAGAGUGGAAGAUCAUCUGCUUCUUAAUGGGAUGUCCAGCACAGAUGAUAGAUGGAUAUAUCAUGGAGAACCUUUAGACGGACAACCUCAACAUUUUGAAGCUGAUACACAUGCCCCUCAUAUGAUGGGUGGUGGUGAUGCUGGCAUUGAUUUCAUGGAAAAGGUUUUGCAAGAUAAUGCUGGUUUGGAGGAAGAGGAUGGGCAUGAAGAUGAUAGGAUUCCUGACCUAUUGAAGGAUCUGUAUGAUGCUGAAGAUCGUGCUGAUGGACAUAAGUCAUUGUUUGCUGAGGUGUUAGAGGAGGCGAAGCACGCAGCUCAUGAAGGGGGUAAAUUUUCAAGAUUUACCUUCACUGUGAAGUUACUCCCCAUCAAGUCUUUCUGCCGGAUUAGCAAUGCGCCAUUCAAGGCAAUACUCCGCCUUUUGAGCUUGCAAUUCCCUGAUAGCUGUGUUCCCAGAUCUUAUGAUGAAGCAUUGAGCAUAAUCCAUAGGCUGGGGCUAGGUUAUGUUUCAAUACAUGUGUGCCCAAAUAACUGUGUCUUGUUUCGGAAGGAUUUGGCAAAGCAUGACAACUGUCCAAAAUGCAAUGCCUCUAGGUGGAAAGAUGCUGAUUGGAAGAAGUCAAUACCGGAGAAGGUACUGAGGCACUUUCCGUUGAUACCAAGGCUGCAGCGGAUGUUUAUCUCAAAGAAAUCAUCGCUGGAGGUACAAUGGCACAAGCUGAAGCGGCAACCUGUGCACAAUGAGCUGAGCCAUCUAGUGGAUGGAGAGGCAUGGCAAGAGUUUGAUAGUAUACAUCUAGAUUUUGCUGCAGAUCCAAGGAACAUAAAACUUGGCAUUGCCACAGAUGGCUUUAAUCCAUUUGGGAACAUGAGCACGUUUAUAGCAUGUGGCCAGUUUUUGUGGCGCUGUACAACCUGCCACCAUGGGCAUGCAUGGAUCAGUCCAACUUCAUGA